rnacentral:rRNA from 1 species
AUUGAACGCUGGCGGCAGGCCUAACACAUGCAAGUCGAACGAGUGGCGGACGGGUGAGUAAUGUCUGGGAAACUGCCCGAUGGAGGGGGAUAACUACUGGAAACGGUAGCUAAUACCGCAUACCAUCGGAUGUGCCCAGAUGGGAUUAGCUUGUAGGUGAGGUAACGGCUCACCUAGGCGACGAUCCCUCGCUGGUCUGAGAGGAUGACCAGUCACACUGGAAAUGAGACACGGGCAAGACUCCUACGAGGGGGAGAAGUGGGGAAGAUGGCACAAUGGGGGCAAGAUGGAUGCAGGCAUGGCGGGGGUAUGAAGAAGGCCUUCGGGGGGUAAAUGAAUUGCAGCGGGGAGGCGGGACACGCAGAAGAAGCACCGGCUAACUCCGGGCCAGCCGACGCGGUAAUUC